rnacentral:tRNA from 2 species
GGUUUUAUAGUUAAUUUAAUAAUAUUAAAAUGCAAUUUUAAAGUAGUUAUAAACUAAAGCCU